AGAGUUUGAUCCUGGCUCAGGACGAACGCUGGCGGCGUGCUUAACACAUGCAAGUCGAACGAUGAAGCCUUUCGGGGUGGAUUAGUGGCGAACGGGUGAGUAACACGUGGGUAAUCUGCCCUGCACUCUGGGACAAGCCCUGGAAACGGGGUCUAAUACCGGAUAAUACCUGCCGAGGCAUCUUGGUGGGUUGAAAGCUCCGGCGGUGCAGGAUGAGCCCGCGGCCUAUCAGCUUGUUGGUGAGGUAGUGGCUCACCAAGGCGACGACGGGUAGCCGGCCUGAGAGGGCGACCGGCCACACUGGGACUGAGACACGGCCCAGACUCCUACGGGAGGCAGCAGUGGGGAAUAUUGCACAAUGGGCGAAAGCCUGAUGCAGCGACGCCGCGUGAGGGAUGACGGCCUUCGGGUUGUAAACCUCUUUCAGCAGGGAAGAAGCGAAAGUGACGGUACCUGCAGAAGAAGCGCCGGCUAACUACGUGCCAGCAGCCGCGGUAAUACGUAGGGCGCAAGCGUUGUCCGGAAUUAUUGGGCGUAAAGAGCUCGUAGGCGGCUUGUCACGUCGGUUGUGAAAGCCCGGGGCUUAACCCCGGGUCUGCAGUCGAUACGGGCAGGCUAGAGUUCGGUAGGGGAGAUCGGAAUUCCUGGUGUAGCGGUGAAAUGCGCAGAUAUCAGGAGGAACACCGGUGGCGAAGGCGGAUCUCUGGGCCGAUACUGACGCUGAGGAGCGAAAGCGUGGGGAGCGAACAGGAUUAGAUACCCCAGUAGUCC
rnacentral:rRNA from 1 species